GACGAACGCUGGCGGCGUGCUUAACACAUGCAAGUCGAACGGAAAGGCCCUGCUUGCAGGGUGCUCGAGUGGCGAACGGGUGAGUAACACGUGGGUGAUCUGCCCCUUACUUUGGGAUAAGCCUGGGAAACUGGGUCUAAUACUGGAUAGGACCAUGCUGUAGGUGGUGUGGUGGAAAGAUUAGUUUCGGUAAGGGAUGAGCUCGCGGCCUAUCAGCUUGUUGGUGGGGUAAUGGCCUACCAAGGCGUCGACGGGUAGCCGGCCUGAGAGGGUGGACGGCCACAUUGGGACUGAGAUACGGCCCAGACUCCUACGGGAGGCAGCAGUGGGGAAGAGUGCACAAUGGGCGCAAGCCUGAUGCAGCGACGCCGCGUGGGGGAUGACGGCCUUCGGGUUGUAAACUCCUUUCAGCCAUGACGAAGCCCUUGUGGUGACGGUAGUGGUAGAAGAAGCACCGGCUAACUACGUG
rnacentral:rRNA from 1 species